UNGCGUCGUCUGUGAAAUUCCGGGGNUUAACUUCGGGGUGGCAGGCGAUACGGGCAUAACUAGAGUGCUGUAGGGGAGACUGGAAUUCNUGGUGUAGCGGUGGAAUGCGCAGAUAUCAGGAGGAACACCGAUGGCGAAGGCAGGUCUCUGGGCAGUAACUGACGCUGAGGAGCGAAAGCAUGGGGAGCGAACAGGAUUAGAUACCCUGGUAGUCCAUGCUGUAAACGGUGGGCGUUAGGUGUGGGGACCGGUUUGGUUUCUGUGCCGUAGCUAACGCAUUAAGCGCCCCGCCUGGGGAGUACGGCCGCAAGGCUAAAACUCAAAGGAAUUGACGGGGGCCCGCACAAGCGGCGGAGCAUGUGGAUUAAUUCGAUGCAACGCGAAGAACCUUACCUGGGUUUGACAUGCACCAGACGGUUGUAGAGAUACGUACCUCCCUUUGUGGUUGGUGUGCAGGUGGUGCAUGGUUGUCGUCAGCUCGUGUCGUGAGAUGUUGGGUUAAGUCCCGCAACGGGCGCAACCCUUGUCUUAUGUUGCCAGCACUUUGGGUGGGGACUCAUGAGAGACUGCCGGGGUUAACUCGGAGGAAGGUGGGGAUGACGUCAAAUCAUCAUGCCCUUUAUGCCCAGGGCUUCACACAUGCUACAAUGGUUAGUACAACGCGCGGCAAGCCUGUGAGGGUGAGCGAAUCGCUGAAAGCUAAUCUCAGUUCGGAUUGGGGUCUGCAACUCGACCCCAU
rnacentral:rRNA from 1 species